UACGUAGGCAGCAAGCGUUGUUCGGAGUUACUGGGCGUAAAGGGUGCGUAGGCGGCUAUUUAAGUUUGGUGUGAAAUCUCCCGGCUCAACCGGGAGGGUGCGCCGAAUACUGAGUGGCUAGAGUGCGGGAGAGGAAAGUGGAAUUCCUGGUGUAGCGGUGAAAUGCGUAGAUAUCAGGAGGAACACCUGCGGCGAAGGCGGGUUGCUGGGCUGACACUGACGCUGAAGCGCGAAAGCUAGGGGAGCGAACGGG
rnacentral:rRNA from 1 species